UACAGAGGUCUCAAGCGUUGUUCGGAUUCAUUGGGCGUAAAGGGUGCGUAGGCGGCGCGGUAAGUCGGGGGUGAAAUCCUGGAGCUCAACUCCAGAACUGCCUUCGAUACUGGCGAUCUCGAGUUCGGGAGAGGUGAGUGGAACUGCGAGUGUAGAGGUGAAAUUCGUAGAUAUUCGCAAGAACACCAGUGGCGAAGGCGGCUCACUGGCCCGAUACUGACGCUGAGGUGCGAAAGCGUGGGGAGCAAACAGG
rnacentral:rRNA from 1 species